rnacentral:rRNA from 1 species
CUGAUGAGCCAUGCCGCGUGUAUGAAGAAGGCCUUCGGGUUGUAAAGUACUUUCAGCGGGGAGGGGCCUAGUUAAUAACCUCAGCAAUUGACGUUACCCGAGAAGGCCCAGCUAACUCCGUGCCAGCAGCCGCGGUAAUACGGAGGGUGCAAGCGUUAAUCGGAAUUACUGGGCGUAUACAACUCAAAAGGGAGGUCUGUCAAGUCGGAUGUGAAAUCCCCGGGCUCAACCUGGGAACUGCAUUCGAAACUGGCAGGCUAGAGUCUGUAGAGGGGGGUAGAAUUCCAGGUGUAGCGGUGAAAUGCGUAGAGAUCUGGAGGAAUACC